GAGUCUUGCUCAUCACCCAGGCUGGAGUGCAGUGGGGUGAUCUCGGCUCACUGCAGCUUCUGUCUCCCGGGUUCAAGCAAUUCUCCUGCCUCAGCCUCCCAAGUAGCUGGGAUUACAGCCUCGCCAACAUGGCGAAACCCCAUCUCUACUAAAAAUACAAAAGUUAGCUGGGUGUGGUGGCAGAGGCCUGUAAUCCCAGCUCCUUGGGAGGCUGAGGCGGGAGAAUUGCUUGAACCCGGGGACGGAGGUUGCAGUGAGCCGAGAUCGCACUGCUGUACCCAGCCUGGGCCACAGUGCAAGACUCCAUCUCAAAAAAAAAAGAAAAGAAAAAGCCUGUUUAAUGCACAGGUGUGAGUGGAUUGCUUAUGGCUAUGAGAUAGGUUGAUCUCGCCCUUACCCCGGGGUCUGGUGUAUGCUGUGCUUUCCUCAGCAGUAUGGCUCUGACAUCUCUUAGAUGUCCCAACUUCAGCUGUUGGGAGAUGGUGAUAUUUUCAACCCUACUUCCUAAACAUCUGUCUGGGGUUCCUUUAGUCUUGAAUGUCUUAUGCUCAAUUAUUUGGUGUUGAGCCUCUCUUCCACAAGAGCUCCUCCAUGUUUGGAUAGCAGUUGAAGAGGUUGUGUGGGUGGGCUGUUGGGAGUGAGGAUGGAGUGUUCAGUGCCCAUUUCUCAUUUUACAUUUUAAAGUCGUUCCUCCAACAUAGUGUGUAUUGGUCUGAAGGGGGUGGUGGGAUGCCAAAGCCUGCUCAAGUUAUGGACAUUGUGGCCACCAUGUGGCUUAAAUGAUUUUUUCUAACUAAUAAAGUGGAA
rnacentral:lncRNA from 1 species